CUCUAUAGGGACCAUAUAAGGGCUGAGGAAGGGGGAAUAUGGCUCUGAGGUCCAUGUAUGGUCCCUAUAGGGUUCCUAUAGCGCUCAGGAGGGUCCCUCUAUGGUUCCUAUAGGGCUUUGCGUUCUCUAUAGGGCUCAUGGAAGGAGAUUGUGGCUCUGGGGGUCCUUAUAGGGCUCCUAUAGGGCUCUGGGGGUCCCUAUAUGGUUCCUAUGGGGCUCUGAGGGUCUCUAUACAGAUCCUAUAGGGGCUGAAAAAGGGGGAGUAUGGCUGUGAGAUCCAUGUAUGGUCCCUAAAGGGUUCCUAUAGGGUUCAGGGGGUCCCUAUACGGUUCCUAUAAGGCUAUAGGGGUCUCUAUAUGGUUUCUAUAGGGUUCAUGAAAGGAGACUGUGGCUCUAGGGAUCCCUAUAUGAUGACUAUAGGGUCUGGAAAAGAGCAUGUGGCCUUGAGGUCCCCAUAUGGUCCCCAUGGAGUUCCUAUAGGGCUCUGGGGGUCUCUGUAUGGACUCUAUAGGGCUCAUGGAAGGAGGCUGGGGCUCUGGGAUCCAUACGUGUUUUCCCAUAUGGCUCCUAUGGGGUCUGGGGAAGGGUUUUUGCGGCUCUGGGGAUCCCUAUAUGGUUCCCAUUGGGCUGUGGGUCUGAAGGUCCCCAUAUGGACCCUAUAGGGCGUGAGGGUUCCCAUAUGGAUCCUAUAGGGCCCGAGGGUCCCCAUAGAGCUCUUGGAAGGGGUUCUGCGGCUCUAUGAGUACCUAUAUGUUUCCCGUAGGAGCUCCUGGGGGCUUACCUGGUUCUCUCCUCCCCAUGGUUCCUCCGCAUAGGGCCCAGAAGGACCCUAUGGAACCCCUAUAGCCGCCAUCCAUCCCCUCCCUGAGGCGCGGACUACAACUCCCAGCAUGCACCGCGCCGCGCGGGAAAUCACCGCACCCACUUUCCCGCCUCGCGCAUGCGCAUCGCCACGGGCUGGGGCUCAGCGCAUGCGCGCAGCGCACGACCGGAACUCACCAGAGAGCGCCGCGCGUGCGCACUUCGCACCGUCCCUUCCCUCAGCCGCCUGUUCCUCUCCGCCGCCCUCUGAGCGUCCCCAGAUCUUCUCUCCCUCCUUCUCCGGCCCUUUGACAGCGAUCACCGGGCGGGAGCCCUCCGGCCCCGUUGGUUCCCGUUGUUCCCGUGCUGGCCGCCAUGGGCCGCAGCUCCAAGGACAAACGGGACAUUUAUUACCGCCUGGCCAAGGAGGGCGGCUGGCGGGCGCGCAGUGCCUUCAAACUGCUGCAGCUCCAGCAGCGCUUCGACAUCUUCUGCGGUGCGGCCCCAGAUGGCCCCGUGUGUCCCCAAAUGUCACCAGGUGUCCCCAGCGCGGCCCCAAAUGGCCUCAGUGUGUCCCUAAAUGUCACCAAAUAUCCCCAGCAUGUCCCCAAAUGGCCUCAGUGUGUCCCUAAAUGUCUCCAGAUGUCCCCAAUGUGUCCCCAAAUGGCCUCAGUGUGUCCCUAAAUGUCACCAGGUGUCCCCAGCAUGUCCCCAAAUGGCAUCAGUAUGUCCCUCAAUGUCACCAGAUGUACCCAAUGCAUCCCCAAAUGGCAUCAGUGUGUCCCUAAAUGUCACCAGAUGUCCCCACCGUGUCCCCAAAUGACCUCAGUGUGUCCCCAGAUGUCACCAGAUGUCCCCAACACGUCCCCAAAUGG
ensembl:lncRNA